GGGGUUAAGUCCCCGCCAAAAGGNGGGGGCCAAACCCCUGGUUUGCCNAGUUGUAUUUUUUCUGGGGCGGAAGAACUGCUGAAAGAGGAAAAACUCAGGAGGGAAGGCGGGGGGAUGAACGUCAAGUCAAGCAACGUNCCCUUAACGUUCUUGGGGCUACACACCACGCUACAAUGGGCCGGUACAGAGGGCUGCGAAAGAGCGAUCUGGAGCUAAUCCCACAAAGCCGGCCCCAGUUCAGAUUGCAGGCUGCAACUCGCCUGCAUGAAGUCGGAGUUGCUAGUAACCGCAGGUCAGCACACUGCGGUGAAUACGUUCCCGGGCCUUGUACACACCGCCCGUGAAUCACUAGUGAAUUCGCG
rnacentral:rRNA from 1 species